UACAGAGGUCCCAAGCGUUGUUCGGAUUCACUGGGCGUAAAGGGUGCGUAGGUGGCCAGGUAAGUUCGGUGUGAAAGCUCGGAGCUUAACUCCGAAAAGGCAUUGAAUACUAUCUGGCUAGAGGGUCGGAGGGGAGACUGGAAUUCUCGGUGUAGCAGUGAAAUGCGUAGAUAUCGAGAGGAACACCAGUGGCGAAGGCGAGUCUCUGGACGACACCUGACACUGAGGCACGAAAGCCAGGGGAGCAAACCGG
rnacentral:rRNA from 1 species